GUCAGUCGGGCGCUCCCGACCGUCGGUCGGUCGGUACGUCGUCGGUCAGCCGGGCAACCGGUCGGGAUGCCAGUCGGUCGGUCGGUCGGUCGGUCGGUAUCCCCCAACAGUUGCCCCCCUCCACUCCUAAGUCGGACGGUGAGCUGGCGACUAGGAGUGGAUUUGUCGUACGCGAGGAUCCGACCGUACCGUCGGUUGAUACGGUGUCAGGCGCCUCAUAAAUGUCGAGAGGCUUGCUGGCGUCCGUCGCCUAGUCGGCGUCAGACGUCUAGUCCUAUCAGCAUCAGUUGUCAAGUCGGCGCCGGAUGCUCCGUCGUGUCGGAU
rnacentral:lncRNA from 1 species